UUUAGAAAGACAGAAACAAGUUCCCUUUACCUCAUUUUCACUAGACAAUUUCUCACUUUCCACUUCCAGUUUACCUUUAAGCAAUAAUAUAAUGCAAAGAUUUAUAUUUUUUUCUCCAUUCUCCCAUUAUUAUUUUCAAUUAACUAUCUCUGAUAAACAGACUUUAUGAUUUUUCUUUCAAAAUCAUACUGUAUUAAAGAACUAUAUUCUUCACUGUCUUUUAGUUAAAAAUUAUCUCCAAGAUUUCCACCUGAGAAAAA
rnacentral:lncRNA from 1 species